rnacentral:lncRNA from 1 species
UAUGUUAUAAUAUUCACUCAUAUAAAUUCCAACUUCAAAGAUCAAUAUUUUGAAUUAUCACUUCUUCUUGAUUUCACCUCACAAGCAUAAGUUCCAAUAUUUAGAAUCUACCUUAUGAAUUGACUUAAACAAAGACAUUUAAUUUACUUAUGUUUUAUUUAAAGAAGCAAGCUCAAAGUACUCUCAAUCCACCUUAUCAAGGUCA